AUGACUUACCGGCGGUGGCUCCGCGGCGUGCGCCCUGCCAGGAGGGGCCUGUGCUCGAGGAGCAGGCCUGGCGAGUAGCCCAGCCACUCCACGUUGAGCCGGGACUUGCCGCGCAACAUGGUCCUCCUGGGCGGGCGGCGGCUACGCCGCCCCCUGAACUCGCGUGAACACUGGUCCUCGUCUGCGUCUCGGUCGCUGAGCUGGGGGCCGCAAGGAGACCCGAGCAUAUGAGCCGCGAAGAGGGACUACCAGCCAGAGGGCUGUGGUGCUAGGCAACUGAGCGUAUUCCGCCGACGACAACACAAAAAAGCAGUGCGCAUUAUUUCGCCACUACUUGAGCAAAUAAAUGCCUCAUUAAUUACUGCCCGCAGUGGUAGGAAGUCAAGCCCUUGGCAGCUGGGAGGAGUUAAAACACUCACCCGAGUCCGUAAAACUAGAGAAUGUCAGAGUUCAAAGAGCUCUUGCUGAGAAUGACUGUUCCAGACUCGAUGCCAGUGACCCCCAACUUCCACUUAAAAGUUAAAAACAUAUUUUGCAGCUGCUCAGAAAGCCGCCAAUGAGACAACAGGGACUCAAAUAGUAAGAACAGAUGGGCCUCCCGGGCCUGCGCAACCCGAGAGAGGUAAAAACGAAAGGGUGGGUAAGUCUGGAGUCAGGCUUGACAAAAUUAAGUUGCCACUGGCUGCUAAUAAGAGGACAGCCCUUAACAUGGUCAGCGCCUGGAAAGGGCCGCUGACCACACAGCUAUUUUCUGCACCACAUGGAUACAAAGACCACAUCUGAAAUCAUGACUAAACCAGCAGCUUAGAGUGGUGGAAAGGGCAAUGGACUGGGCAGCAGGAAGUCCAGGUUUUAGUUCAAACUGAAUAAUCCCCCUCUAGGGCUGACUGUGCUGGCUCACGCCUGUAAUCUCAACACUUUGGGAAGCUGAGGCAGGAGGAUUGCGUGAGGCCAGUAGUUCCAGAGCAGCUUGGGCAGCAUAGCAAGACUCCGUCUCUAAAAAACAAACUGUAAAAUAUUUAAUAAAAAUAAUAGUAAUCUCUAUCUGGGCCUCAUCUAGACCUUUAGGUGAGUAAGAACCACCUAAUGUAAGAACUUGGGGUACAAAGAGAAUCUAGCUCUGGGGUAGGCAAACUGAGCCAGCCGACCUAAUACAUGGAGCCUACCACCUGUUUUUCUACAGCCCUGAGGUAGAAAUAGUGAAACUAAGGGAAAUUUCAGUCUGGUGAGGACCUCACAAUGCCCCUUGCCUCCUGACUCUUGAAUGCCCUAAAAUUUACAUCAGGCUACCUCUUCCAGCUCUAUCUGCCAGAUAGCUAAGCUGGGAUCUCUGAGCUGGUGAAGGGACUUGCCCAUGGAGUCAAGGAAUGCUCAGGGUUCAUGCCUCAGGACUGUUCUCACCAACUUGACUCACCUUUGGGGCUCUAGUGGAGCCCGUGGGCCUUCCGGCAAACAGAAGUAGGCAAUGGGGGUCAGGAAAUGGCCCCCACUGCCUGUCCAGCGUGGUGCCAGCUCAGCCUAGGAUCCCAUGUCCCCUGGCACACCAGUGGUUUGAUAUAACCAGAGGAUCUCCUGCCCAUGAGGGGCGGCAGCGCUCCAGUUACCAACCCCCAAGUGAAAGAUCCUGGAUCAAGUCUUUCCUGAUUGGCCUGCACCCAGAGGCUACGCUACCAGAAGAGGAACUGGACAAGGGCACACCCCAAGAUAUACACGCGUUUUUUCCUUGAAAGGCCCAGGCUUUGAGGAGGCGAUCGCAACCAGUGGGCUGAAUAAAAGAGCAAGUGUCGGCACGGAGAG
rnacentral:lncRNA from 1 species